rnacentral:lncRNA from 1 species
AACACUCCGAGUUCCCAUGGAGUGGAAAAUCUUGCGAGCCUCCUCAAGCUCGCCACACUUGCAGUACAUGUCUACCAGGCAAGUCGCCAUGUACACACCUAGGUGUUUCUUCUCCUUGCUCAGUACUGAAUGGAGUUCCAUCCCGAUGCGUAGAGCUCUCUCCCUCUUGUCCCUGGAUUCGGUAGCAAGUCUGGAGCAGGCGCUGAUCACCGCGACAUGAGUCCGAUCGUUGGGUUGAAUGGUGGUACAAGCUCUCAGGGCAGAGUAGUACUCCAGAGCAAGUUCAGCUCGCCCGUUCGUGUUGCACCCCUGGAUGAUCGCGGUGUAGGACACAACACUCCGAGUUCCCAUGGAGUGGAAAAUCUUGCGAGCCUCCUCAAGCUCGCCACAGUUGCAGUACAUGUCUACCAGGCAAGUCGCCAUGUACAGACCUAGACGUUUCUUCUCCUUGCUCAGUACUGAAUGGACUUCCAUCCCGAUGCGUAGAGCUCUCUCCCUCUUCUCGCUGGAUUCGGUAGCAAGUGUGGAGCAGGCGCUGAUCACCGCGACAUGUGUCCGAUCAUCGGGUUGAAUAGUGUUAUCAGCUCUCAGGGCAGAGUAGUACUCCAGAGCAAGUUCAGCUUGCCCGUUCGUGUUGCACCCCUGGAUGAUCGCGGUGUAGGACACAACACUCCGAGUUCCCAUGGAGUGGAAAAUCUUGCGAGCCUCCUCAAGCUCGCCACACUUGCAGUACAUGUCUACCAGGCAAGUCGCCACGAACAGAUCUAGCUGUUUCUUCUCCUUGCUCAGCAUUGAAUGGAUCUCCAUCCCGAUGCGUAGAGCUCUCUCCCUCUUCUCGCUGGAUUCGGUAGCAAGUCUGGAGCAGGCGCUGAUCACCGCGACAUGUGUCCAAUCGUUGGGUUGAAUGGUGGUACAAGCUCUCAGGGCAGAGUAGUACUCCAGAGCAAGUUCAGCUUGCCCGUUCGAGCCGCAGCCCUGGAUGAUCGCGUUGUAGGACACAACACUCCGGGUUCCCAUGGAGUCGAAAAUCUUGCGAGCCUUCUCAAGCUCGCCACACUUGCAGUACAUAUCGAUCAAUCCCGUCAACAAGUAGAUGUUGCUUUUGUGCUCAUCACUCUUGAGCACAGCUUCAUGGGCUUGUUUUCCCAAAGAAAGGGAUCUGCUCUCAGCUGAGUCUCUCACGCGGUGUAUCAGCCUCCCUAAACUCACCGGGUCAUCACCAGCUACAGGUGGGGUAUGUGGAGAUUUGUAGCUGGCCGCCUUACCUACAGCUGGGUCAGCGAGCGACUCGAGUUUUGCAGAGACCCAGGUUGGUGUUUUCCUGUUGGCGAUCCACAGGCUCUCUCCAGUAGAAACAUGUUUGAAAUCCGGGUAGGACUCUGAGAAGAACUUGUUUUUCUUCUUGAACCUGCUGUCCCACCAGAAAGUGGGAUCCCUGAACUCCAUGAGAUUGUUGAGAAAUGACACACACAUAUAUAUAAUUGGCUACUUGGCCUUCGACAUAAGCUGCCAGAUCCUUGUUCGGGAUGUUCACCUGGAGUCAUCUCGCGUCUCCAUGAGAUUGUUGAGAAAUGACACACACACCACACAAACCCUAGCGCCGCACGCAUACCCUAGAAAUCCCGAUUUGUUAUUACUUAACUGUAGUAGUAAAAAG